rnacentral:ribozyme from 1 species
GCCAUCCAGAUAUGUUGUCUCUAUGUGGCGGAUGGCAGGCAACGAGAUUCUCUCUCGGCUAAAGCAUAU